rnacentral:misc_RNA from 1 species
AAGUCGUAACAAGGUUUCCGUAGGUGAACCUGCGGAAGGAUCAUUAAAAAUCCAACAUGCUGUGGUUUUUUCCACGGCAUUUUACCUGUGAAUUGGGACGUUAUGUCCGUUUUGUACUAUAGUGUAUAUUUUCUUUUGCUAAAAAGACACUUGCUCUUUUUAAGAAAAAACAAAAAGACAACUUUCAGCAAUGGAUCUCUUGGCUCUU